GGGGCUUCGGCCCUGAGUAAACCGGCGGACGGGGUGAGUAACACGUGGGUAAUGUACCUACCGGCGGGGGAUAACAGUCCGAAAGGAUUGCUAAUACCGCAUUCGCUGGCAGGAUCUCCGGAUCCUGUCAGGAAAGAUGGCCUCUCAGCGAAGCUAUCACCGGUAGAUCAGCCCCGCGUCCCAUCAGCUAGUUGGUGAGGUAAUGGCUCACCAAGGCAAAGACGGGUAGCUGGUCUGAGAGGAUGAUCAGCCACACUGGGACUGAGACACGGCCCAGACUCCUACGGGAGGCAGCAGUGGGGAAUAUUGGGCAAUGGGCGCAAGCCUGACCCAGCCACGCCGCGUGAGUGAUGAAGGCCUUCGGGUCGUAAAGCUCUGUGGGGAGGGACGAAACAGUUGCUGGCUAAUAUCCAGCGACCCUGACGGUACCUCCUUAGCAAGCACCGGCUAACUCCGUGCCAGCAGCCGCGGUAA
rnacentral:rRNA from 1 species